rnacentral:hammerhead_ribozyme from 1 species
AUCCAGUUGACGAGUCCCAAAUAGGACGAGAUAUGUGUCCUAGAU